AUUGAACGCUGGCGGCAUGCCUUACACAUGCAAGUCGAACGGCAGCAUGGAGAGCUUGCUCUCUGAUGGCGCGUGGCGAACGGGUGAGUAAUGCAUCGGAACGUACCGUGUAAUGGGGGAUAACGUAGCGAAAGUUACGCUCAUACCGCACACAACCUGAGGGGGAAAGCAGGGGAUCGCCAGACCUGGCGUUAGAGGAGGGGCAGAUGUCAGAUUAGCUAGUUGGUGAGGUAAAGGCUCACCAAGGUGAGGAUCUGUAGCGGGUCUGAGAGGAUGAUCCGCCACACUGGGACUGAGACACGGCACAGACUCCUACGGGAGGCAGCAGUGGGGAAUUUUGGACAAUGGGGGCAACCCUGAUACAGCCAUGCCGGGUGAGUGAAGAAGGCCUUCGGGUUGUAAAGCUCUUUCGGCCGGGAAGAAAUCGCACAGGCUAAUACUCUGUGUGGAUGACGGUACCGGCAUAAGAAGCACCGGCUAACUACGUGCCAGCCGCCGCAGUAA
rnacentral:rRNA from 1 species